GACAAGAGGAGGGAUCUGGCUGAGAUGUUUAGCAACCAGAUACAGAAGUGUGAUACUGAAGCCAUCAUCUUAUACAGUGCAAGUCAUCCUGGAAGGCUAAGGCCAGGGGAGUCGUGCAAAUGGGCAAAGUCGGGCUAAGAAUUAAAGGCCGGCUUCUUCUCCUUUUAUUUAGUGCCCUUCCUCAUAGCAGCAUGAGGGCGCCAUUUCUAGGAAUGUUAAAUUUCCUUCCAGAAAGCAAAGUGAGGUUUUCUAAUUAUCAAGUAGAGAGAUCCAUCCUUUUGCUAUGAAGUUCCCGAAGCUGGGAUGAAUUUUAAAGACAUCAUUUAUUAUACUGAUGCACAGAAAUAAAAAAUGUAUUUGCAGGUAUAAGUAAUGAAGGAUUGAGACGAGAAGGUAUUGGAUUCAUGUGGGCCCUAAAUCCAGUAGGUGGCCUUUGUGUAAGGAGACUGUAGUGCCCAGAAAGAAGAAGGGAGACACAGAGGAGAGGGCACAGAAAGGGACAGGGAGAGGAGGGUAAACAAAGCAGGGCACACAGGCAGAGGUUACCAGGGAUGUCUCCACGAGCCAAGCAAUGCCAGCAAUUUAGGUGACCGCCAGAGGCUGGGACAGAGGCCCGGAACAGAUGAUCCUCACAGCCCUCAGAAGGAGCCCGCCCUGCUGACACUUCACUUCAGACUUCUGGCCCCGUGCAGGGUGAAAGAAUACAUUUCUAUUGUUUUCAGCCACCUACUGUGUGUGGGCAGCCACAGAAAACUAACACAGAAGAUUAAAAAAAAAGAUCAGUUGGGUAAGAUUUGGAUGGGAGGCAGCAUGAGUGGCCGCAGAUGGAGACAUUCCAGAGAGGUUUGAGAAUGAAAAGGAAGAACAAAAGUAGAAAUCAUGAGUGUGCUCCUGCCCUGACCCAGCUGUCUCUGACAUGGCAAUCCAUGCUGUGUGAGAAGGUUCCAGGGAAGACGGAUGCCCUGGGGCACCUGCCGGCCUCAGGUUUGUCUGGAUCCACAGAGGAGAGGGACUCCCAGUCCUUGGCCUUCUCCUCAGGAACACAUGAGUCUGGCUGGGCACAAGACCAAGAGGCAUUUGGCUCUGCUCACGCCACUAAUGUGACACAGGAACACUUAGGAACAAUGGACCCUGAAGUUAGGCUGCCUCCAAGGGUCAGAACUCUUUCUACAAACUUCUAUAAACAGGCACAAAGAGUUUCCAUCCAGUCACUGGUAGACUUGAAAGUUGUUUUUAUGCGAUUCCAUGCUAAAUUUUCUCUGAAAAAAAAAAAAAAAAAAAAAAAGAACAAGUACCUCCCCAGAGACUGCUGCUUCCUGUACCACAAUUCCUCUGGAAUGCUAAAGAAGAUAUUAAAGUAAACACCAGGCACGCAUUGGGGUCUAUGACUAAGAAGGUGCUUCAAAAUUUGUGGGGAAAAAUACUACUCAAUAUGUGACAGUUGUGUGGUCAUUCAGGGACAAAUUCCUCAGCCACACACUAGCAUAAACUCCAUAUAAAAAUGAUUCUUAAAAGCUUUCUUAAAGGAUGAGAGGAAAAUAUGGAACAAUUAUUUUUAUGUCUUAGGAAUGGAAAAGUGAGGGCAGUAAAUCAGUAAAACCCUUAUUGAGGUCAGCUUAUCAAUAAUUACAAUGAAUGGCUAAUCAUUGCUAGGAAAUUAUACUUUGAUGAAUUUAUACUAUAAAUAUACUCACAUAUAUAUGGAGUCAUUGGCAAUUGCAAUUGUAAAAGUAACUUAAAUUUACACCACAAGGAAACAGCUUAUGGUAUAUUCAUACAAUAGAACUCCUUCAAUGCUUUUAAAAAGAGAAAAAGAAAUGAGAAAGCUUUUUAUGUACUACCUGGAAAUGUCUCUAAGUUAAUUAAGGAAAAAAGCAAAUUACAGGCACUGGGUGUAGUGCGCUACCAUUUGAGGUUCAAAAGUGGGCGGCAGAAGAGAAUGCAUUUUGAAAUGUAUGAAUGUCCUCACCUACACAUAUUUUCAAAAGCUCUGUCAGCUCACAGGAAAUCACUAAGAGGAGGGGUUGGAAUUUGGAAAGUUAUCAUCUUUCACUGUGAUGCUUUCUUCUAUCUUUUGCUUUUUCAAUUGCCCUCUACGUACAGCUUAGCCAAAACAUAGUAAAAAUUAAAACAACUACAUCAG
rnacentral:lncRNA from 1 species